rnacentral:rRNA from 1 species
UACAGAGGGUGCAAGCGUUGCUCGGAAUCAUUGGGCGUAAAGAGCGUGUAGGCGGUCCGGUCAGUCGGUUGUGAAAGUCAAGGGCUCAACCCUUGAAUGCCGGCCGAUACUGCCGGGCUAGAGUCCGGAAGAGGUGAGUGGAAUUCCUGGUGUAGCGGUGAAAUGCGCAGAUAUCAGGAGGAACACCGAUGGCGAAGGCAGCUCGCUGGGACGGUACUGACGCUGAGGCGCGAAAGCGUGGGGAGCGAACAGG